rnacentral:rRNA from 1 species
AACGAACGCUGGCGGCAGGCUUAACACAUGCAAGUCGAACGCCCCGCCAGGGGAGUGUCAGACGGGUGAGUAACGCGUGGGAGCAUACACUUUUAUACGCCCUAGCUUGGGGAAAAGGGCAUUAAAACCGUAUUUGCUCCACGGGGGGAAGAUGUAUUGGGGAAGGAUUGGCCAGAGUUGGAUUAGCUAGUUGGGGGGGUAAAGGCCUACCAAGGCGCCGACCCAUAGCUGCUGUGAGAGGAUGAUCAGCCACAUCGGGAGGGAGAAACAGGCCAGACUCCUACGGGAGGGGGCAGUGGCGAAUAUUGGAAAAUGGGCGCAGGCCAGAUCCAGCCAUGCCGCGUGAGUGAUGAAGGCGUUAGAGUUGUAAAGCUCUUUCACCGAUGAAGAUAAUGACGGUAGUCGGAGAAGAAGCCCCGGCUAACUUCGUGCCAGCAGCCGCCGUAA